UACGGAGGAUCCAAGCGUUAUCCGGAUUUAUUGGGUUUAAAGGGUGCGUAGGCGGCUUGUUAAGUCAGGGGUGAAAGACGAUGGCUCAACCAUCGCAGUGCCUUUGAUACUGACGAGCUUGAAUGUACUUGAGGUAGGCGGAAUGUGACAAGUAGCGGUGAAAUGCAUAGAUAUGUCACAGAACACCGAUUGCGAAGGCAGCUUACUAAAGUAUGAUUGACGCUGAGGCACGAAAGCGUGGGGAUCAAAC
rnacentral:rRNA from 1 species